rnacentral:rRNA from 1 species
AUUGAACGCUGGCGGCAUGCUUUACACAUGCAAGUCGAACGGCAGCGCGGGCUUCGGCCUGGCGGCGAGUGGCGAACGGGUGAGUAAUGCAUCGGAACGUGCCCAGUAGUGGGGGAUAGCCCGGCGAAAGCCGGAUUAAUACCGCAUACGACCUGAGGGUGAAAGCGGGGGACCGAAAGGCCUCGCGCUAUUGUAGCGGCCGAUGUCGGAUUAGCUAGUUGGUGGGGUAAAGGCUUACCAAGGCGACGAUCCGUAGCUGGUCUGAGAGGACGACCAGCCACACGGGGACUGAGACACGGCCCAGACUCCUACGGGAGGCAGCAGUGGGGAAUUUUGGACAAUGGGGGCAACCCUGAUCCAGCCAUGCCGCGUGCGGGAAGAAGGCCUUCGGGUUGUAAACCGCUUUUGUUCGGGAAGAAAUCCUCUGGGCUAAUACCCCGGGGGGAUGACGGUACCGGAAGAAUAAGCACCGGCUAACUACGUG